AGGAUAGAAAGGAAAUCUCAGGAUAAGUUUGUUGGCCUCAUUUGAAGAAAAGUACCUUAUAGAAGAGCCAUAAGAAUGACGUGGCUUUCAUUCACUCAGCAGAUACAUUGGGACCAUCUCUUGUGCCCACCUUGAGCUUGGUUAGGGGUACAGGAGAUGGGGUCGGGCACGCUGGGAACUAAGGAGGUCUGAACCCAGCCUGGGGGAUGGAGGACUGCCUGGAGGUGGAGGCCAGACCUGAAUGAGUCACACAGGCUAAGUGGGGAGUCAAGAGGUGCAGGCAGUUAGGCCACCACACCUGGCCGCUCAUCUUUUUCAGCAUUGAAUAAUAUUCCAUUGCCUGGAUAUGCCACAUUUUAUCAUUCGCCCAAUGAAGGAUAUCCUGGUUGCCUCCAAGUUUUGCAAUUAUGAAUAAAGCAGUAUAAACAUC
rnacentral:lncRNA from 10 species